UACCAGCACCCCGAGUGGUCGGGACGAUUAUUGGGCCUAAAGCAUCCGUAGCCGGUUCUACAAGUCUUCCGUUAAAUCCACCUGCUUAACAGAUGGGCUGCGGAGGAUACUAUAGACCUAGGAGGCGGGAGAGGCAAGCGGUACUUAGUGGGUAGGGGUAAAAUCCGUUGAUCCAUUGAAGACCACCAGUGGCGAAGGCGGCUUGCCAGAACGCACUCGACGGUGAGGGAUGAAAGCUGGGGGAGCAAACCGG
rnacentral:rRNA from 1 species